UACAGAUCACACGCCAACAGUCUUCAUCUCUGCCUUACCGGGACUGCUGAGUUACUAGGUGACGUGCUUCAUAUCUACAACUUUAAGACCAGCCCCCUACCGCCAGCUGGGAUAUUGUCAGCAGUGACAGGCUGCCCUCGUAAAAUCCACUUGGACACACAAGACGUGAAACGGAGAUGGAAGGAGUACAGCAUCUGAGUGCAGAGAGAAGCCUGACACAAGCUGACUGUGUACCUUGGUUCACACCUCUGAAAUGACAGAUCAAACAAACAUGGGUUGGAAAUGCAGGCUGAGAUUUAACAUUAAGUGCAGUUAUUAAUUACCUGUAGUGAAGACAUUAUGAACCUCCAUUUUGGAACAGGUUGCUAUAAAGCUGUGCAUCACUACAGGCGUAUGAAGUCAAGAUGGCCAUAUCUUAAAAAAAUCUGUGUGCUGAGAAGAUGUCUGCACCUUCUUUUCAAAUUAAAGAAAAACUCUCUUUAGUGGUAAGAAGAAGCUCACUUUGCCAGUUAGGAUGACAGUCUUGGAGAGUACAAUCCUAAAGAUGCAUUGAAGACAGAAAUGGAACUCAAAGCACCACAGUGCAUGGAUUAUAGGAGCCCCCGUCUGCAGGAAUCAAGAAACAAGGAAAAGGAUGUUUGCUGGGUCAUGACGGGAGGGAAGAAAGAGGCUUUCUGUUUAGAUUUAAUUCUUAGCAGCAGAGAUCCAAACAUGAGGGUUCAUGUUAAGAGCUGCCAGUUGUAGCAAAGGGUGGUUCUUGGGAAUACAUUUUAACAAGAAAACUUCAGAGCCUGAACAAAAACCAAAAACCAGUCAGGUUGGAUGUCUUGCUACGAGGGUCACCAUCUUCUAAAGUGGAAGCAGGAUGCUGUAAUAUACUGCUGGUUAUCAACGCCACUUGACCAACAAUGAAUACCAUUGCUUUAAAUGCUAGGAUACUCAGAAUGAAAGAUGUAAAGAAUGUGACAAAUCAUCUGAAAAUAGGAUAUUGUCAGAUAUCAGGAGGCCAAUAAACAUUAAAAACAAAAUCCAGAAAUCAGUUGUUAAAAGGAAUGUUGCAAAAUGUGAGAACAGAAAUGGAAGUUAACUGUCAUAACGUGAUUGGUUAUUCGGUUUGAUUGCACCAAAGAGCUUCUGUGUCCAGUCACUAUUCAGGGAGUGGAUGUAGAGGUGGUCCACUCCUACAAGUACUUGGGGCUCCAUAUCAAUGACAGGUUGGACUGAUCUCGUAACACAGAGGAACAUUAUAAGAAAGAACCUAGCAGGCUGUGUUCCUUUAAAGUGGGAAGUGACGUCCUUCAUAUCUACAGUUCUGUGAUGGUGGUGGUGUGCUGGGCUGGUAACAUCACUUCAGGAGAGGCCCACCAAAUCAACAAGCCAGUUAAAAGGACAAACUCAGUUAUAUGACACACUCUGGACUACCUGGAUGUUGUAGCGGAGGAGAAAAUUAACACAAAACUAAGUGACAUUGUGACAAAUGUAGCACAUCCUCCCCCUGACACACUAACAGUGAGUACUUUCAGCCAAAAAAUUAUUGAGCAAAAGUGUGUCAAGAAACUCUACUGGGGCUCCUUUAUACAAC